GGCUUACACAAAUUUUUUCCUUGCUUUACCAUAUGUAUACGAGCAACUACAUGAAUGGAGAGAGAAACUUUCAGGAAUCUUAAAGUUAACAUGAACAAAUUUAAUCUCAAUAAUUACACUUUUUCGAGGUAUUUUUACAUAAGAAAAAUAUAUCAAACCAUAAAGGUCAGAAAUAUCACCUAAAUAAAAAAAUCAGUUUUUUUCUCAAAUUCAAUAAAAUGAGAAUAUCGUUUCAUGAUGUUCCACAGUCCAGGUUGGAGUGAAUUCUUGGCUUUCAGAUCCUGUUAGGCAGCAUAAGCUUGGAAAAUGAACACUGUUACCUGAUGUGACAAAGGUUCUGAUUUGAGCAUUUGGGGCUUCUUUUGCUAAUAGUCCAAUAGUACUGAUUGUCUCCUUCAGCUGCUAUCAACACUUCUUUUCUUUUUUCCACUUACACAUGCCCAAUCAUCUAUCUCUGACACAGAUAUGCCUUCCAAGAGCACUGAAUAUCGAUCCAUAAUGUAUGGAAGCUGCUCAGAUAAAAUACCAGACAAGCCAACUACUGCCCCAGGUUUAGCAUAAGAAACAAUAUGAUCUGCCAAUUCCAAGAGAGGAUUCAAAAGUAUAUUAGCAAUGACCACAUCAUAUUUCUCUGUUUCAGAUACAGGUCCCAUUCCAUAAGUGCUCUGCUCUUUGACAGCCUCAUUUGUUCCUUCAUUCAUCAAGGAAGUGCAGGUUUUGUUGGAAACUAGGCGUAAUUCCAUUGUCUCAGGUCUUAUAUCGUUUAGAGCAGCAUUACGACUUGCAGAUGUGAUUGCUUGGGGAUCUACAUCAAUUCCAACUGACAAAGAUGCACCAAACUUAACUGCUGCAAUUGCAAGAAUUCCAGAACCUGUACCAUAGUCCAAGAAAAAUUCUCCUCCUUUUAUCAAACCUCGUAGCAGCAAUAGGCACAACUUAGUAGUAGAGUGCUCCCCAGUUCCAAAUGCUAAUCCAGGAUUCAGAAUUAUAUUUGUUGCCCCAACAUCCUAUAGGGGACAGGAAAAUAUGAUAACUCUUUAAGAGAUUAAGAGAAUAUUCAAGAGGCUUGAAAUUUAAUGUGUAGUUGUAUAUGCAUGCAAUUUCAUGAGUCUCCCAAUACACACAGAACUUUUCACUCCUUGAAGAAAAGUCAAAAAGGCAUGUGUACACAUCCAUGUGUCCACACACACACACAGAGAGAGCUUUUUAGGUUGUUUUAAAGCAAAAUGGUAAGAUAUGCCUAUAUAUGGUGACCAGUGAUUCCAAUAAAACUUAGAAGAUAGUUUUAGAUAAUCAUACUGGGGGAGAUCUCCCCUCAGGCACAAUCCAAAGUCCUUCAGUAACUUCCAGAGGAUGAAAUGAUUCCUGUGUCUUCUGAAUCCAGUCACAUUGCUCCCCCAUUUUAACCUCAUAGGCUGGUAUCUCUUUCAAGCCUAUGGAAUCUGCGGCUUGUGAAAGGCACACAUCCACAUCUUGGAAUUGAGGAAACACAGAAUCAAUGUGAAUCUCAUGAGAGCUCUCACAGUCAUCUUGUUCAUCUAUACUGGUACAACUUGCACCAAAGCAUAAAAGAGCUUCUGAAAACAUAUCAGCUACUUCUUUUGGACAGCGAAUGCGAACAGAAAGGUAAGCAGAGGAAUCAGUAGUUGCAGAGGUAUCGUGCGAAGCAGCGAGUGAAGUGCAAGAACGAACAGACGAGAAAGAAGAUACGAAAUUAAUCAUUGAGAAGAGCGAAGAAUUGGGUUUUGAUCGGUAUCGACAUUCAGGUUUGAAGCUUGAGAGAGAAGAGAGAGAUAAUGAGCGACGGAGGCCCCAGGAGAAAGUGUAAGAUAGGUGUUUGAAGAAAUGACUCUUCGACAUUUCUUGCUACAGGCGGAUGCUGUCAGCACUUAGCAGACCCAGGGAGGGAAGCAACCGCUGGUUGGCGCGGGAUUGUAUAAAUCUUCGUUGCGUUUCAGUUAAAAAAAU
rnacentral:misc_RNA from 1 species